rnacentral:rRNA from 1 species
GGUUUUUAGAAUUAAUUAAAAAUCAAGCCUGCUCAAUGCUAAGUAAAUAGCCGCAGAAUUUUAACUGUGCAAAGGUAGCAUAAUCACUUGUCUUUUAAUUGAGGACUAGAAUGAAAGGUUUAACUAUGUAAUUUUGUCUUAUAGUAAUAUUUUGAAUUUAAUUUUUUAGUAAAAAAGCUAAAAUACAUCUUAAAGACGAGAAGACCCUAUUAAGCUUAACAAUCUAAUAUUAUUUUCAAACUAAUUAAAAAAUUGUUCUGCUGGGGCAGCAAGUAAAAAAAUAUUGUUUACAUAUUGUGAUAAAUAAAUCUAGAAAAAUCAAUAAUUUGUUAAAAAAUAAUAAGUUACUAUAGGGAUAACAGCAUAAUUUUUUUAAAGAGUUCUCAUCAACAAAAAAGUUUGUGACCUCGAUGUUGGAUUAAGAAUCCUAUUUCACGCAGUAGUAAAAAAAGGGAGUCUGUUCGACUUUUAAAUUCUUCCA